CCCACCUUUCCUCUAUUCUGCUUUUAUCACAGGGGGCUGGUCUCUGCAAACUAUAUUUUUAAGAAUUCCUUACCAACUGGCUUUCAGCUGGACUCAGCCAACAAGAGGAAGACGCUGGAAAUUGGAGGCAGGAAGAAGUGGCUCCCUCCUCCCAGGACUCCAGCUUUCAUCUGAUGCCUUCUACCUCUGUGAUCCAACCUCCUUCCAAGCAGCCUCCAUCCUGGGUUCCAGUUCCAGCUGGAAGGUCCCUGAUCCUGGGCUCUGGGAGCACCAUCUCCUCCUCCCUUCCUCAGCCCAGCCAUAGAGCUGCUUCCUGCUGUUGCUAAUCUUUGGGGAAUCUCUGGGGUGCCUCAGUUGACCCCACUUGGUUUUUCAGUACUUCCAACAUGUUUAUCACCAGUUCAAGGGAUUGAAUUCCACCUACUGAUGGUCCUUCCCAGACCCUGACUGAUACAAGUUUAAUAUGGAGAUGAACAGAACAGGUGGAAGCUCCCCAUGACCUUGAUCCUCCCUCAAGAUCUAGACUUGAUAUUUUGUACUUACGAUUGAGUCGUAUUUACUCACUCUCCCAGCAAGUGACGCCCCCAUUGCCUCAUCUCACUGGAUCUUCAUAAUAAUUGUAGGAGGCUGGUAGCAGAGGAAGGGGAAGACAGAGAGAUUCAACUGGCUUGAAGAUGGAAAAAAUGGACCACUUGAGAAGAAAUGUGGGCAACCUCUAAGAACAUUGGUGCCCCCCUGGCUUGACAGCCAGCAAGGAACCAAGGACCACAGAUGCAACCCGAAGGAACUGGAUUCUGCCAGUGAUCUGAACUAGCUUGGAAGUGGAUUCUACUUCUGAACCUCCAGAUAAGAGCCCAGCCAAGGUGACACCCUGAUUUUGCCUGGUGAGUCCCUGAGCAGGGAGCUCCUCUGAGCCUGUCUGGACUGAGAACCUGCAGAAGAACUGUGAGCUAAUAAAUGAAGGUU
rnacentral:lncRNA from 10 species